rnacentral:rRNA from 1 species
UACGUAGGGCGCAAGCGUUGUCCGGAAUUAUUGGGCGUAAAGAGCUCGUAGGCGGCUUGUCACGUCGGGUGUGAAAGCCCGGGGCUUAACCCCGGGUCUGCAUUCGAUACGGGCUAGCUAGAGUGUGGUAGGGGAGACUGGAAUUCCUGGUGUAGCGGUGAAAUGCGCAGAUAUCAGGAGGAACACCGGUGGCGAAGGCGGGUCUCUGGGCCGAUACUGACGCUGAGGAGCGAAAGCGUGGGGAGCGAACAGG